UCAAAGAACAGCACAAUCAAUAUGUCAAACUGUUAGAGUGGAAAAUUUUGUUUGUUCAGGACCUAAUUUUUUGCGGAAAGUAUUGUAAGAAAUAUAUUCAUUGGAAUACAGAUGCUGCAAUAAUUUCUAAUAUGUGUGUUAUUUUAGUUUAUUAAACUAUUGUAUCCUAACUUCUGUCACUACAAGGAUAUAUCUUUUAGUAUGAUCAAAUUUGAUCAAAUGUUAUAAUAAAUGUAUUUAGAAAUAUGCUUUACUAUGCUUUACACUGACUUACAGUUACGAUCGGUUAGAACCCAAUAAUUGCUCUUUGAAUUAUUCAUUUAAUUGACUUAGCCAAAAUCUCUGCACAAACACUUAUGAUUUCUAGGUCUCAUUUUCAUUUUUCAUCAGUAUAAAAUAUGAAAUCAAUCUUAUUUUUAUUACAUAUAAAAUUUAAGAAUAUUAGAGUCAUUUUCUUCAAGUGAACUCAUUACAUUUUUAACAUCAAUCAUACAUACAACAAUUCAACUUAAAUCACGACAUCAAUCUACCUGAUCUAUCUACAUAAAUAAAUGGAUUGAAAAUUGUAAGUUUGUUUAAUCACACUUGUGAUCCACCAGUAACAAGAGUUUCCUUCGGUCGAAAGAUGGCUCUUUAUGCUGUCUAUCCAAUAAAAAAAGGCGAGCAGAUUUUUGACAACUAUGGCAUGCACUAUGCUCUUCAUCCGAAGAAUUAUCGUUUGUCUAGACUUUAUCAACAAUUCAGAUUUGUUUGUAAUUGUCGCUCUUGCAUUGAAGAUUGGCCGACAUUUCCAAAUGUUCCUAGUUUUUGGGUGCAAAGAUUAGCGAAUGUUAAUAAUGAAAAGUUGAAUUAUGCCAUGGUCAAGUUUUCAAAGUACUACGAGCUGGCGGUCAGAGCUGAAGUUGAAGAUAAUUCCGAAAUAGUUGAAGACUUAUUGAAUAUCGUAAAUGUUUUCUUUGAACGGGUCAGUUUGCCUUGCCGUGAACUUAAUGAGAUCAUUGAGACAUUAAAAAGAGUAUACAGUCUUUUAGCUAAUCGUUUUCAAUCUCUUGAUUAAGGUUAUGGUGUGACCAGUACGAAUUUCAGAAGAGAAAUCGAAAAAAAAGCUUCAUUUUCUAUACAUUGAGUGACAGAGUUGCUAACACAAAGUAGAGCUGAUAUAAAAGUAAAUCACAUCAUUCAAAUUCCCACACGGACAAAAAUAUACUGUCAUUAUGACAGUUUUUCUGGAAAUUUGAACACAAACGAUGCGAUGUAAUGUAAUGUAAACGAUGCAAAUAACUCAGAGCAAGCAAGACACCUCUCAAAAAUGUAAUGAUUCGUGAAAAAUUUUAUCAGAGUUUUAUGUUGAAAGAACAGAGAAAAUAGACAUUAUAACUAUAAUCAGUAUACUUUUAGAUUAAAUUAAAUUAAUCUUAAUUUUUAUUUUCAUUUCACGUUACAUUUAUUGUUAUAGUAAAUUUCUCGCCAAGGCUCGUUCCUACCCUUCCAAAUUCAUUGUGAGCGAGCUCUCUGAUUGGGCACAUGUAUCGAACUAUAUUUUAUGUCACAAGGGCAGUGGGAAUAAUGUGUGAAUUUCCAGAACGUAGUAGAGCGUUUUCGGAAAUUUACACGUUAUUACCACUGCCCUUGUGUGAUAAAUUUAUUAUCACAUUGAUAAUUUUUUUGAGAAAGCAUAAAUUAUUUUUUUUUAGAGAAAUUAGUGUACAAAUAUAACAUAGAAAGUAAACUUCAAAGUUGUUGACAGAAAAGCUUUAUUUUGAAUUUUCCCGUUUUUGUAUCCAAAGAUACAAAAAAAAAUGUCAUAACAACAGGAUGAUAUUUUCAGUAAACCCAAUUUCACAACUGUAAAUCCUUUCUUUUUGAUAAGCAUCUCCAAUAUGAAUCCGACAACUCAAUCCAACAAUAUUAAAAUCCAAUAAUAAAUCUAAGAACCGAAUAAUAGCCAAUUUUAGGGACAAUGCGUAUAUAAGGUCGCAGAUUGGUUGAUAAGACACAUUAUUACCGAUCACUUGUCACUCGUGUCAUUCGUGUCCGAGUCAAAAGGCUAUUCAUAUGUACAAUAGGGAUCUGACCUAUGAGCAGGCUUUGGUAAAUAAUUUUAACAAAAUAAUUAAAAUUAAAUAAAGCAUCA
rnacentral:misc_RNA from 1 species